AAUAUCAAAGGUGAGCCAGUACAGGAUGGACCCGCGUCUGAUUAGCUAGUUGGUAAGGUAACGGCUUACCAAGGCGACGAUCAGUAGCCGACCUGAGAGGGUGAUCGGCCACCUUGGAACUGAGACACGGUCCAAACUCCUACGGGAGGCAGCAGUGGGGAAUAUUGCACAAUGGGCGAAAGCCUGAUGCAGCAACGCCGCGUGAGUGAUGAAGGCCUUCGGGUCGUAAAACUCUGUCCUCAAGGAAGAUAAUGACGGUACUUGAGGAGGAAGCCCCGGCUAACUACGUGCCAGCAGCCGCGGUAAUACGUAGGGGGCUAGCGUUAUCCGGAUUUACUGGGCGUAAAGGGUGCGUAGGCGGUCUUUCAAGUCAGGAGUGAAAGGCUACGGCUCAACCGUAGUAAGCUCUUGAAACUGGGAGACUUGAGUGCAGGAGAGGAGAGUGGAAUUCCUAGUGUAGCGGUGAAAUGCGUAGAUAUUAGGAGGAACACCAGUUGCGAAGGCGGCUCUCUGGACUGUAACUGACGCUGAGGCACGAAAGCGUGGGGAGCAAACAGGAUUAGAUACCCUGGUAGUCCACGCUGUAAACGAUGAGUACUAGGUGUCGGGGGUUACCCCC
rnacentral:rRNA from 1 species